CAAGUAUUUCCCUUGCUAAAUACGUUGGUUAGCGGCGGACGGGUGAGUAACACGUAUGUAACCUGCCUGUAAAACCGGCAUAAAUUCGGAAACGAAUGCUAAUACCGGAUACCCGAAUGGGUCGCAUGACCCGUUCGGGAAAGACGGAGCAUUCUGUCACUUACAGAUGGACCUGCGGCGCAUUAGCUAGUUGGUGAGGUAACGGCUCACCAAGGCGACGAUGCGUAGCCGACCUGAGAGGGUGAUCGGCCACACUGGGACUGACACCCGCCCCAGACUCCUACGGGAGGCAGCAAUAUGGAAUCUUCCGCAAUGGGCGAAAGCCUGACGGACCAACGCCGCGUGAGUGAUGAAGGUUUUCGGAUCCUAAAGCUCUGUUGACAGGGAAGAAUGCUUGGGAGAGUAACUGCUCCCAAGGCGACGGUACCUGAGAAGAACGCCCCGGCUAACUACGUGCCCGCAGCCGCGGUAAUACGUACGGGGCAUGCGUUGUAUCGGAAUUAUUGGGCGUACAGCGCGCGCAUGCGGCUGAUUAUAUCAGGUGUUUAACGCUGCGGCUCCACCCCGGUUCACACUGGAAACUGGUUGGCUUGAGUGCAAAAGAGGAUACCCCGAAUCCCCCGUGUACCGGUGAAAUGCGUAAAGAUGUCCAGGAACACCACGCGGCUAAUGCGACCUUUCUCUGCUGCAUCUGACGCUGAGGCGUC
rnacentral:rRNA from 1 species